AGGUGGAGUGGUGGCGCUGGAUAGCGUUAGUUAAUGUCCAAUAUAAAGAAACUGUCAUGUGAUACCAGUACCUCCUAAAUUGGUCAGUGUGGUAGACGGUUUAGAGAAAAAAGGAACCUGUUCCACAGGGCUGUGACCAUUUUGGGCUGCCAUGGAGGGAAGCACAUUCAAAGAUGUAGAUCCCCUCAGAGAAGUUUUCCAUUUUCCUGAAAUUAAAGAUCUUCAAAUGACUGCAAAUAACAUGAGGAUAUAUAGAAAAGUGCCCUUCCCCAAUUUCCAAAUCAUGAAAAUUUGGCUCAGCAGAGCCCUAAUUUGUUUAGAACUGUCAUAUGCACAGUUAAAACAACUUGUCCUCCCAGGACCUUUUGCAGUUAGGGUUGGUCAUGUGACAUGGUCCUGCCAGGAAGAUACGGAUAGAAGUCUGUGGGCCACCAGUGGAUUGAAUGAUGCCCAUAUGCACUGAGAAGGGCCAUGUGUUUACUCGGUCUACCAAUUGAAAUGUUAAUCUCAUCCAAAAACACCCUCACAGAUAUGUUUGGAAUGAUGUUUAACCAAAUAUUUGGGUACCAUCUUCCCCAGUGAAGUUGACACAAAAUUAACCAUCACAGCUGCCUUCCUCUGGGCCUCAUGUUAUAUGAGAACAGUAUUGGGUGUACACUUAAAGCAUUCUGGGAAUAUGAAUCCCUUCUGCACCCGGGAUUCACCAGUCCAGCCAUGCAUGGAGCUGGGGAAAGCAGGCCCUGAACUGUCUAGAGAGACUUGGUGGAGGAGGCCACGGCCCGUCUUGUCCCUGCCGGGUCCUGGCCAGGAUUUGAACGUCUAUGACACUCUUCCGAGCUGACACAGUGAAGAACAUGGAAGGAGAACUCACCCAGUCUGCCAGGGUCACAGAUGAUCAUACUCAAGAUCUUCCUGGGGAGUCAACGGCAAAUUUCACUGGG
rnacentral:lncRNA from 1 species